ACUUGGGGUUUUUUCUCUUUUCCUUCUUCACUGUUCUGAAAUCUCCAGCGACUAGCAAACCUUAGGCUAAAUCUAAACGCUAAGAGUGUACUCUGGUUUGACUGAAGUUGAAGCGGCGAAGUGACGGAGCAAAGUUAAAGCGACAAAGCGAAGUUAAAGCGAUGAAGUGAAGCUAAAGCGAUGGACCGUCGAAACUAAAAGAUACUUACAGUUCUUUGAGAUGCCGAAGCAAAACCGAGUAAAGAAUCUCUUCAAAUCAGUCACAGAGGCUUCAGUGCAGUCACAGGCUUCAUCAUCUACUAGUCCAUCAACGUCAUCUGAUAGAAUCUCUUCUCAGCAUGAUAUUCCAUCUUCACCAUCUGAAGAAGUCUCUUCUCAGUUUGUCGUUCCCUCUUCAUCAUCUGAUGGAGUUUCUUCUCAGCAUGCCGUUCCAACUAACCGUAAAGCAAAUGAUGAAAGAUGAAACCCCCCAUCGUGAUUGGCUUGUCGACGUUAUACGUAUUUCACUUUCAACUUCAGAACAUUUGGUUGCACGCGGUAGGAGUUUGACACCACAACGCAAGCAAAUGAGGCAAGC